AUCCAGCUGACGAAUCCCAAAUAGGACGAAGAGCUCAUCCUGGAU
rnacentral:hammerhead_ribozyme from 1 species